CAGGUGGCUAUGACUAUAGCGUGCCCACGCUAAAAGGCGGGCUGUUUGGCGAGAAGUCGCGUUGUUACGUACUUCGGCAGUAGCCCACUCGGCAGCUGCGACACUGUCAGGUUCAAAGAAUGCUAAACCGCGGCCUAAUACGAAAGGAAAGUGACGAUUUAGAAGACAGACGGAUUGCACUGGCCAGAUAUCACUUGAAAAAGGCGUCAUCUACCGUCACCAUAAGACAAGUUGAACAAAUAUGCAACAAGAAAGAGUUGAAUGAGACAGCAAAUCAACGCCACGAAUUGUGUCAGUGGAUGAAACAUCAAAGUGCCAAGCGGCAUACAGAAUUCAUCAGCCAUUGAGCUCAACUACGUGAUACAGAAGCACAUCUGUUUUCAUGUCACGGGCAAUCAGGAACAUAUCAACAUCGAACUACCAAGAUCAAAGAGCAGCAAAAGAGAGGUCAUGUUGCUGAACGUGUUCGGGAGGCAAUCAAUCUUAUGAGUAACAUUGUGACUCCAUCAAGAUCUAGUUUGCAGUCUAAUACGGGACAUCAUCCAAGCGAUUCUGUUGUUGCCUUGAAGCAAGGUAUCGGUCUGAAUAGUACCAGUCCAGAGCAGAGUGUAGUGAAUAUAUCUUUGUCCUCGGAGAGUGUUAUGAGCAAUAUUGACUGGGAAGAAGUCGACAGAAUUCUAGAUGACUAGUCUUUACUGCAUGCUACCUGGUUACACUCAUGCUGUAAGUACAUAUUUAUUUGUGUAGUUGCAGAUAUGUAUUUAUCUAUUUAUAUAUUUGUUGUUAAUAUUGUUGCAGAAUUACUUCUUUACAUUGAUUAAUGAUGAUAUUUUUAUUGGGCAUCUGGUUGGGGUUCCUGGGUGGCUGAAAAGAAAUGUUCGUGAACGUUUCAUUCAUUAUUGUCCCGAUAUUAGAAUCGUGGCUAGAAUGUGUUAGAAAUCUAACGUGUUAUUACGCAUGUGCAAUGUGAUUGAUGUCUGCUCUUUGAAACGGAUAACCAAUAUUUUACAUGAGUGACAGUAAGUCUUCUAAAAUUGAACUUUUAUUAAAUUUAUUAAUUAACUCUACAAUAGUGACCUUUUAUUGAUUAAUUGAUUAACUCUACACUAUUACCUGAUGUUGCACUUUCAUUUUUCAGUAUGGAGCGCAGUGUAUUCUCGCCUUUGUGCCUUAUUUCUUAGUAUCUACUAUAGUAUGCGUUCAACUGGCAGUUGAGAAACAAACUUCCAACUUUGCAUCUAAUCAAUUAUGUACGCAUGUGCAAGAUGUUGCUAUGUAUAUCUGCUGCGACGCCACCGUAGAAUUCAGUUGCUCUCAGUCUGUCGAUUAGUAUCACGCCCGUCGAAGAACUUUUACAUCAUAAUGGGAGACAAGCCAAAAACUGAAUGGACAAAGGAAAGAGCGUCUGUAGUGCAGAGUACUGAAGCAAAGAAGCACGGUGGCGAGGUACCUGAGGGCAACUAUGCAAGAGGUGCUCAAUCAAGAGCCGACAAGCCAAAAACUGAAUGGACAAAGGAAAGAGCGUCUGUAGUGCAGGGAGUUGAAGCAAAGAAGCACGGUGGAGAGGUACCUGUGGGCAACUAUGCAAGAGAUGCUCAAUCAAGAGCCGACAAAAACGAAGCUGCAAAUAAGUAGCUGACGAUGAUUGUCAAGAGUUGAGUCAACAGAAAGACUACAAACAGUUGACUCUGAAUUUGUGUUGCGCGAGUUUGUGCAUGUGUUGUCUUGGAACUGUUUGCUGUUACACUUGUCGUUCGUCUUUCGUACGCAAAUAGCGUCGAGACUGCGAUCUAAUUGAGAUUUGUUUGCACAAGA